UUGUUUUUCUCACUUAAAUGUUCCGCUUCCUUUCUAGAUAUCAAUGCUAAAUAAACCGUCAUGGAAUCGCAGGGGUUGGAAGGGAACUCAAGAGGUCAUUGAGUCUAACCCCCCUGCUAAAGCAGCUCCCUACAGAUUGGCAUCCAGGUUUGCAAAUGCUUUUUGCUGGCUAAGCAACACACUCUGAGGAGGAACCUAUUGGACUCAGCUGUCAAAACCACAGGGAUGGACUCAGAACUGGGACUGGAAACUACUUCAGCAGUCUGAGACCAUUCUGGCUGGACGCGGAGUUCUGUUCGUACCAAUCCAUCGGGACACGGGCUGACUUCUCGCAGCGGCGGUGGGACCGCGCGUGGUGCGGAG